rnacentral:rRNA from 1 species
CAGUAGCCGCGGGAAUACGAAGGUCCCAAGCGUUGUUCGGAAUCACUGGGCGUAAAGGGAGCGUAGGCGGCGUGGUAAGUCAGAUGUGAAAUCCCGGGGCUCAACCCCGGAACUGCAUCCGAUACUGCCAUGCUUGAGGGUUGGAGAGGUAGCUGGAAUUCUCGGUGUAGCAGUGAAAUGCGUGGAUAUCGAGAGGAACACUCGUGGCGAAGGCGAGCUACUGGACAACAUCUGACGCUGAGGCUCGAAGGCUAGGGUAGCGAAAGGGAUUAGAUACCCCCGUAGUCCCUGUCUCUUAUAA